rnacentral:rRNA from 1 species
AUUGAACGCUGGCGGCAUGCCCUACACAUGCAAGUCGAACGGUAACAGGUCUUCGGAUGCUGACGAGUGGCGAACGGGUGAGUAAUACAUCGGAACGUGCCUAGUAGUGGGGGAUAACUACUCGAAAGAGAUGCUAAUACCGCAUGAGAUCUACGGAUGAAAGCAGGGGAUCGAAAGCCCUUGUGCUACUAGAGCGGCCGAUGGCAGAUUAGGUAGUUGGUGGGAUAAAAGCUUACCAAGCCGACGAUCUGUAGCUGGCCUGAGAGGACGAUCAGCCACACUGGGACUGAGACACGGCCCAGACUCCUACGGGAGGCAGCAGUGGGGAAUUUUGGACAAUGGGCGAAAGCCUGAUCCAGCAAUGCCGCGUGCAGGAUGAAGGCCUUCGGGUUGUAAACUGCUUUUGUACGGAACGAAAAGCCCCGGGUUAAUACCCUGGGGUCAUGACGGUACCGUAAGAAUAAGCACCGGCUAACUACGUGCCAGCAGCCGCGGUAA